GACUCUGAUCUGGCAGUGCAGCAGGAGCAGGUCAGCCGGAGACUGAAGGUCAAUUAAGCAGCUAUUCAUCCUGAGAGACACAAACAAGGGCACGAUGGCCGGUGAACAACGCUUUGUAAUCAGUGCCCGCAUUGUAGGAGCCGUCCACAGGGACACACCAAAACUCAGAAUGUUCAUGAUAUCUGUGUCAUGGUCUGAUGAGACUGAAGUGAUUGUCUACAGGUCCUUCCAAGAUUUUAAGAAAUUUCAUCGGCAGCUGAAAAAGAGGUUCCCUCUCAUGAACCCUUUCAGGAAAAACGACAGAGUGAUCCCCAAAUUUAAAGG